AGUCGGAAUUGCUAGUAAUCGUAGGUCAGCAUACUACGGUGAAUACGUUCCCGGGCCUUGUACACACCGCCCGUCAAACCAUGAGAGUUGGCAACACCCGAAGUCGGUAGUCUAACCGCAAGGAGGACGCCGCCGAAGGUGGGGUUGAUGAUUAGGGUUAAGUCGUAACAAGGUACC
rnacentral:rRNA from 1 species